AUCUCUAUUUACCUUUCUUGUGUUCAAUACCAAAAGAAACUGAUAAAAAAUAUUACUUGCACAGUUGUUUAUGCUUGUGAAAAUGUUCCUUACCAUUCUUCAUUUGCUUAUCUGCUAUAAUGUCAACUCUUUAAGCUUGUGAGAUCAUGUAUCGGUGCAUAGAUCAUCAGCUCCUCUUAUCACUACCAUUUGCUCUUUGAUUGCUGCUGUCAUCCGACCACUAACACAUUGUCGUGGCUAUCUUCUGAGCUUAGUUGCUGCUGUAGGUGUGCAGUUAGUAGAGGAGCAAUGGGAAAGGGGAAACAAUAUGGGAAAGGUCUCAACAGGAUCAGUUGAUCCCGGAGGGCCAAAAUGCCACUCAUUAUACCAGAGGAGAAGAGAAGGCCAGAGUUACCUCUUCUUGCGGCAAAGUUUGCAACUGAAUCCAACAUCGCUGUCAGAAACCAUGUGCAUGUGCUUCAGUGCUGGAAGGAUUACAAGAAAAAGGACAACACUGGGAUCUUCGAAGAUUUUGUUGGCAAAGUUGGUAUAAAGUUCCACAUGGACACUGAAGCUGCUCCAGUUAUGAAGGAUUGUACCCAAAUGAAGUUUGCAGUCCGCCAGCAGCGAUACAAGCUCAAGCAGAAGUAUUUUGAUCCUUUCCCGCUCAAUUUGGUGACCAGAAUUUCUCCUCUCAAAUCGAUGAUUGAUGACUAGUGGAAUGCCCUUGUGGAAAGCUAGAAGAAUCCAAAGAAGAUGGAGAUCUGUAAAAAGAAUAAAGCUAACCGUGCUCAAGUUAAGUUCCAUCAAACAACUGGUUCCCGCAGCUAUCCUGUGCACUGUGAUAAUUUG